UACAGAGGCCUCGAGCGUUAGGCGGAAUCACUGGGCUUAAAGCGUGUGUAGGCGGACUUCUAAGUGCCUUGUGAAAUCCCACGGCUCACCCGUGGAACUGCUGGGCAUACUGGGAGUCUUGAGCCACCUAGGGGCGAGCGGAACAAAUGGUGGAGCGGUGAAAUGCGUAGAUAUCAUUUGGAACGCCAACGGAGAGAUCAGCUCGCUGGGGGUGUGCUGACGCUGAGACACGAAAGCCAGGGGAGCGAACGGG
rnacentral:rRNA from 1 species